CCUCUCUCAUGAACACACGUACGGCCAUUGCCGGAAGCCAGUUAUUAUAGUUAAUAAAGUUUUAAAUAUGGAUAUUUUUCUUACAAAAACCCAUCGCUUCACUUCAGAAGGCCUUUAUUAACCCUCUGGAGUCGUAUGGAUUACUUUUAUGAUGGAUGGAUGUGCUUUUUUGGGCUUCAAAAUCUCGACCCCCAUUUACUGCCAUUAUAGAGCCAGAAUAUUUUUUAAUAUAACUCUGAUUGUGUUUGUCUGAAAGAAGAAAGUCAUAGGCUUGAGGGUGAGUAAAUUAUGGGAUCAUUUUCAUUUUUGGGUGAACUAUCCCUUUAAGAGUGAAAUAUGAGAGAACAUUGUUAAAUAUAACAGAGAUAAAGUAAUUGUAGUCGCAUUGCAUACAAUGUUUUGUCUGUCUGUUUUUCUCCAACUGUUUCUUUGAAACGGGCCACCGAAUCUACUCGUGUGACGAGGAAACAAAGGAUUAGCUGAAACUUUCAUUUAAUGCAGUCAGGGAUCUUCUCCAAACACUGCCAAGGCCACAGGUCAUUAUGUACCGCAGAGAAACACAGGCCGCACGGGGGGGUCGAAGCUUGUGCGCAUCCAGCUGCAGCAGCUGUCUCAUCGCUGACAUGCACACUGUCAUUACAUUACUAAUGGCUGAAGAAAUUGCAGACUUGGUGGCAGACAAACCACUAUAAGGGGGUAUUUAUAGAGCGGGGGACCAGGAGGAGGACAACAGCCACCCCUCGUUCAACUGGUGCACAAACACUGCUGCUUUUCCUCAAGGAUGUGCAUAUCGUUCAGAUAAUUCAUAGAGCCUGCUCUGUUGUGAUUGGUUGGAAACCAAAUGCUUAUUACCAUAGAUGGAUUUCAGCUCUUCCUCAGCACUUGAUACACAGUGAGACGAACAGCAAUGAUGCCGUCGGUUUUACCGUAUCAAUCUCAUCAAAGUGAUUCAAGAAGACUGAACAACGCGAACCAAACUCUUCCGGUCUCAGAUACAACUACAGUGUUUGAGGGCGGGGCAAAGCAGGCGUUGUUCACGGGUAGCCAAUGAAAAACAUAGGCUGGCAUUAUGCAAAUUAGCUACAAACCUACACAGGUUCGUACAGCAACUGAGACUGGAAUUUCUGACGACUCAUUUCAGGCAGUUCAGAAUCAAUUCUUUCUUAUAGGAGACAAUAACUUUAUUUAUCUGCACUUUGCAGACCUUUUACAUUCACAAACAGCUAUAUUACACACAUGAAAGGUACAGUAAUAUCUGAAAAAGCAUAAUAGGGGAACUUUAACAAUGUAAAACUUGGUCUCAUAUGGAUCUGUUGUGGUCCUUUGCUCCAGCGAUCUUCCUGAAAUGAGAGCUCGGAGACUUUAAUUCCGUUCCUUCACAUCAAACUGCAAAACACGGCUAUUCUCUGGGCAGUUUUCCCAGGAGUUUGAAUUUACAAUUUGUGAUGGUGCAUUAUUCAAACAUAAGCAAAAACAAAAACUGUUGCAACUCAUUAUCAUGACCUAUGAAUACGGACCUGGUUUAUUCGUGACUGCAUCAAAUCUGAGUCAACAUGCAUCUAAAAAGCCUUUGCAUUUCACUACAGGCUACAUUACAUCAUGCAAACCACAAAAUGUGUGCCUCCAGAACUCCUUGGGAGGAUCUGCAGAUUUCAGUAUGUGUAUGUGUAAUAUUUUGGCUAAUUUGAU